AGCAUGUGGUUUAAUUCGAAGCAACGCGAAGAACCUUACCAGGUCUUGACAUCCCCUGACACCCGAGAGAUCGGGCGGUUCCCCCUUCGGGGGACAGGGUGACAGGUGGUGCAUGGUUGUCGUCAGCUCGUGUCGUGAGAUGUUGGGUUAAGUCCCGCAACGAGCGCAACCCUCGACCUUAGUUGCCAGCAUUCAGUUGGGCACUCUAAGGUGACUGCCGGCUAAAGUCGGAGGAAGGUGGGGAUGACGUCAAAUCAUCAUGCCCCUUAUGACCUGGGCUACACACGUGCUACAAUGGGCGGUACAAAGGGUCGCGAACCCGCGAGGGGGAGCCAAUCCCAAAAAGCCGCUCUCAGUUCGGAUUGCAGGCUGCAACUCGCCUGCAUGAAGAUGGAGUUGCUAGUAACCGCAGGUCAGCUAUACUGCGGUGAAUACGUUCCCGGGGCUU
rnacentral:rRNA from 1 species